GACGAACGCUGGCGGCGUGCUUAACACAUGCAAGUCGAACGGAAAGGCCCUGCGUUUGUGGGGUGCUCGAGUGGCGAACGGGUGAGUAACACGUGAGUAAACUGCCCCUGACUUUGGGAUAACUUCAGGAAACUGGGGCUAAUACCGGAUAGGAGCUACUGAUGCGUGGGGGUGGUUGGAAAGUUUCGGCGGUUGGGGCUGGACUCGCGGCUUAUCAGCUUGUUGGUGGGGUAGUUGCGUACCAAGGCUAUGACGGCUAGCCGGCCUGAGAGGGUGACCGGCGACAUGGGGCCUGAGAUACGGACCAGACUCCUACGGGCGGCAGCAGUGGGGAAUAUUGCACAAUGGGCGGAAGCCUGAUGCAGCAACGCCGCGUGCGGGAUGACGGCCUUCGGGUUGUAAACCGCUUUCGCCUUUGCCGAAGCGUGAGUGACGGUAACGGGUAAAGAAGCACCGGCUAACUACGUG
rnacentral:rRNA from 1 species